GUGGAGUGCGAGUGUCAGAGUUCUGAUGUAGUUAUAAUACAGACUCACUUAAAUAGUGCUGUAAUGUCUGAGUAAUAUCACUAAACUAGGGCUGCACAAUUAAUCAAAAUUUUAGCGAAAUUGCAAUAUGACCUACUGCAAUUUACAAAUUGCAGUAUUUGUUAAAAUCGCAA